UAUCAUCGGAUGGGGCCACAGUGUCUCCCGAACCCCCCUGUCAAACCAAGAUUCUUUAUUUCUGAUCUCAGAGAGAAUAACAGCGUUACACAGUGCAGUGUAGACAGUAUGAAUUCCAAAGCAUUGGGUGAUGAGCACAUAUCUUUAUAGUUUCCUGUUCCUGGGCCGGACUUUAUUUAUACAAGGACGCAGGUGCAAGCUGGUUUUUAACACAGGAUGAUACUCACAAGAACAGAAGAUUAUAAUAGGACAGUUUCACAAGGUUAGUUACAUACUCAGUUAUGUGGACUCAGUUAUGUGGACACAUACAAUAAAACAAUUCCAUUACAGAGUCCGUGAACAUUUCCAUUUCAUUAAAUCAUCAGUGGGCCAACAAUGCAAAUGUAAACAAUGGAGCCAAAUGCAUCACAUCCAAAUAUCACUUGAUUACCUGUAGAGCUGGAGGAAUGACACACCCAGAUAAACACACACAGUCAGAGUUUAAAAAAUGACAAUUUAAACACAUCUGAUCUACUCUAUAUUCAAACUGACACACUCCAUAUUCAAUUCAUGUUUUCUAAUAAACACAUACAAAUAUAUUUUUGAGUAUACUUUGUACAAUUACAUUUAAUAUGGUAUAAACAAGUAAACACAUUCUCAAGUCAACAAUAUAAGACAAUGGGAGCACUGUGUAUGUUCUCUGAUUAACUUUAAGUCGAUGUUAAAUAUCAAUUUACACACUAGGAGAAGUAAUUAAGUCAAUGUUACACACUAGGAGAAGUAAUUAAGUCAAUGUGAUGUGAAAUAUCAAUUUACACAAUAGGAGAAGUAAGGCUUCUUCUCUCCUGUGUGGAUUCUCACAUACUUUUUAUGUGACUGUGAUGAGUAAUAUCUCUUCCCACAGUCUGAACAUUUGUAAGGCUUCUCCCCUGUGUGAAUUCUCUUGUGUUCUUUCAGCUUUCUUAACUGGUUAAAAGUCUUUCCACACUGGGAGCAGUGGUGUGGCUUCGCUUCUAUGUGUAUUUGCUCGUCUUUUCAGGUUGUCUAACCGAUUAAAACUCUUUCCACAACGGGAGCAGUGGUAAGACUUCUCCCCUGUGUUUCCUCUCAUGUCUUUCCAGGCUUUCUAAAUGGCUAAAACUCUUUCCACAAUGGGAGCAGUGGUAAGGCUUUUCCCCUGUGUGUAUUCGUUCAUGACCUUUCAGGCUUCCUAAACAGCUAAAACUCUUUCCACACUGCUCGCAGUUGGUUAUUAGGAUAUUCAAUUAUUGCAUCUGAGCUCCUAGAGUGUGCGGCUUUUCUUUUUCGGUUGUACCUGGUAUGAUACCAGGUGGUUUUACAUUUAUAACCUUAAUAGUUGUAUGAUACCAGGUGGUUUUACAUUUAUAACCUUAAUAGUUGUAUGAUACCAGGUGGUUUUACAUUUAUAACCUUAAUAGUUGUAUGAUACCAGGUGGUUUUACAUUUAUAACCUUAAUAGUUGUAUGAUACCAGGUGGUUUUACAUUUAUAACCUUAAUAGUUGUAUGAUACCAGGUGGUUUUACAUUUAUAACCUUAAUAGUUGUAUGAUACCAGGUGGUUUUACAUUUAUAACCUUAAUAGUUGUAUGAUACCAGGUGGUUUUACAUUUAUAACCUUAAUAGUUGUAUGAUACCAGGUGGUUUUACAUUUAUAACCUUAAUAGCGGUAUGAUACCAGGUGGUUUUACAUUUAUAACCUUAAUAGCGGUAUGAUACCAGGUGGUUUUACAUUUAUAACCUUAAUAGCGGUAUGAUACCAGGUGGUUUUACAUUUAUAACCUUAAUAGCGGUAUGAUACCAGCUGGUUGUACAUUUAUAACCUUAAUAGCGGUAUGAUACAGAAUGCGACCUACACAUUUCCUUAAACCUAAAAUAAGUUAAAAAGUAAUUGUGUUUUUUUUACAUUGGAGACAGACACAUCAGUAACAUCUCCCUGUUGUCGAAAGGGUCCGACACGUGCUGUUUUAAAUGGCAAUUUUUCUGAUUUAGACAUUCACACAUUUUUGACAUUUUGACGAUCACUAAUGUCAUUAUAUUUUGGGUAAAGUCAAAAAGAAUGUGAAAUAUUUUGUUCCUAAAAAUAUAAAACGCAAGUGUUGGUCCAAUCUUUCAUGAGCUGAAAAAAAAGAUCCCUGAAUUUUUACAAGCGCACGAAAGCUUAUUUCUCAAAUGUUGUGCACUAAUUUGUGCCCCUGCCCAGUCAUAUUAAAAGGCCCACCAAUGGCU